rnacentral:rRNA from 1 species
GUGUCAGCCGCCGCGGUAAUACGUAGGUGGCAAGCGUUGUCCGGAUUUACUGGGCGUAAAGGAUGUGUAGGCGGAUAUUUAAGUGAGAUGUGUAAUCCCCGGGCUUAACUUGGGGGCUGCAUUUCAUACUGGAUGUCUAGAGUGCAGGAGAGGAAACCAGAAUUCCUAGUGUAGCGGUGAAAUGCGUAGAAGAUAGGAGGAAUACCAGUGGCGAAGGCGGCUUUCUGG